rnacentral:lncRNA from 1 species
GAAGGCAUGAAAGGAUAUCGCCUUUAUUCUCUCAAGCGCAAAACGUUGCUGGAAAGACGGGAUGUGCUCGUUGAUGAGAGCAAGCUGUACAAGGAUCGCGCUGAAGUUCCUGCUCCUACUUUCGUGGAACUCUAGCUGGUGGACACAGUUCACGUGACUACAGCUCCUUCUCAAGUCCCGUUGCUGCCUCUUGCUCCUGCUGGUGGUAACGUGGUGGUUCCUCCAGCACUGCCACCACGCCCUCCAGCUACGCCUCUGCAAGAAUCUCCUCCAGUGAGAACACCUAGCUUCUCUGAAGAACUGAUGAACACUUACUUCGAGGGCGACGAGGAAUUUCAAGCUGCUCCUGAGUUCUUCCUCAGCUCAUCUUCACUGGGAGCUGGACGUGGAUCAUCACCUUCAGUGGGAGCUGGAAGCAGGUCGCCAACUUCAGUGGGAGCUCUCCCAGACUCUCCACUUGUUCCACCACCUGUGAUCCACCCUCCAGCACGUCCUGAACCACGGCGCUCUGCUUGAGUUCCCGUACCAUCUAGGCUGCAAUUGGAAGCUGAGCAAUCUCGUCCCUUCUUUAGUUUUGGAAAAAUUAAAAAGAAAGGAACACACCAGGCUAACUUCGUGGCUGCUAAUC